rnacentral:rRNA from 1 species
AGAGUUUGAUCCUGGCUCAGGAUGAACGCUGGCGGCGUGCCUAAUACAUGCAAGUCGAGCGAACAGAUAAGGAGCUUGCUCCUUUGAAGUUAGCGGCGGACGGGUGAGUAACACGUGGGUAACCUACCUAUAAGACUGGGAUAACUUCGGGAAACCGGAGCUAAUACCGGAUAACAUUUAGAACCGCAUGGUUCUAAAGUGAAAGAUGGUUUUGCUAUCACUUAUAGAUGGACCCGCGCCGUAUUAGCUAGUUGGUAAGGUAACGGCUUACCAAGGCGACGAUACGUAGCCGACCUGAGAGGGUGAUCGGCCACACUGGAACUGAGACACGGUCCAGACUCCUACGGGAGGCAGCAGUAGGGAAUCUUCCGCAAUGGGCGAAAGCCCGACGGAGCAACGCCGCGUGAGUGAUGAAGGGUUUCGGCUCGUAAAACUCUGUUAUUAGGGAAGAACAAAUGUGUAAGUAACUGUGCACAUCUUGACGGUACCUAAUCAGAAAGCCACGGCUAACUACGUG